rnacentral:lncRNA from 1 species
ACUUCCAACUGUCCUUGAGCAACCAAUCUUUGGUAAACCUUAGAUUGUCCUCGACAAUUGUUUAAUCCUUUUAGUCAUAUCCAGUUCUAAACCUUUUCCCUUCUUAAUGCCCCAGGCAUUUGGAAAAUUUUAGAACGGAUGAAUAUAGCACAUGUAAUCGAUCCUAUAUCCGAAGCAUAUGGGACACGAUUCAUGAUGUCUCACAUAAAGACUAAACCAGUCUUUUGCUAUAAUAUUUCCAUUUCAAUUUGCCAAGUUCUCAUAAUUCAGAUUAUGAAAAGGGAUGUCGUAAUCAUAAUCGAAUUUUAGAACGCAAAUAAUGGACCCAUAUACAGAAUUUCCUUAUGUUGAGCCAUUCCAACAUGAAAUUCAUAUAUAUAUCCUUGACUAAAUACGAUUAAAACCUCAAUCUAAGCUUUUAGAUUUGAGAUGAAGUAUAAUUUCCUCUCCCUUAAUUAUAGCAAAACAACUUUUUCCUAAUUGAAACCUUUUGUUUUCUAUAAUUAACAUUGCUAACUUGCAACCCUUAUCAUAAUUAUCAUGCUCCCACUAACAUGAUGAUUAUUAGCAUAACACUUAUGCUCCCACUAGCUUUGACAUGUACUCAGAAAUUAGUUGGACUUCUAGAAAUCAAUACUUUAUUGACUUUCUUACCAAAGUUUAGAUUUCUGAUACUAGAUUGCUUUGACAAAACUUUAUCAAUAUCAUACACCUUAUCUUAGAUAGCUCACAGGUGUGUCUAAACAAUUUUCAGAACUAUGAAAAGGGAUGCCGUAAUCAUAGUCUUGAUUGUUUAGACAUUUGCCACUUCUCACAAGUCCAUGUUAGUGUGCCGGUUAACCACACAGCUCCACUAACGACUUUGAGAAUGCAAAUAUCACAAUUGCUAUCUACUUCAAAUCUACUUGGUGGAAGUGUUUCCUCACCAUCAUUUUCAUGAAUCGGAGAGAAACCUUAUGACCCUUAGAUUUAAUGGUGUAUGUGUUCUUAUCCAUGUGAAUUGUCAAAACCAUAGUCACAAGACAAGGAUAAUGACAAAUCCAAACUCAUAUAGACCGAACUCAAUCUUAAUUUCUUGCCAUCUAGUAACUCAAGGGCCUGGCAUUGCUUCCAAGUUGUUCUGCAACCAAUUGAGAACUCUAAGAACUCAUAUGCAUAGCCAACUUUAAUUGGAAUGGGCACAAAAUAUGUCAACACGAUAGGUUAUAAACCUCAAGUCGUAUGCUAGUGAGGAACUUCAGGUUUUAUUCUCGAUUAGUCUUGAGACUUUCAAGACCUUUAAGACUCCCACUGUCCUCUUGACAUAUAAGACUUUCUUGUCAAAUAUUCAAGAGAUAGUGUGGAUUCUAAUCAAGACAAACACUUCACACAAUUGGCCUUAGUUGGUCUUUGUUUUGUCCAAAACAUCACAACUUACCAAUUUCAAAUGUACAAGAGUAGAAAACUUUUACUCUUACAUUUGACUAGUAUUAAUAAACCUACUUUAAGAUGUGUCACUCAAGUUACAAUCUUGGAGUAUAACUCUAAGAAUUGUUUUUGGAACGAAGUAUGAAUCAUCUUCUUGAUUUAACCACUUCAACAAUUCAUAACUCCUCUUCUUAGCUAUCAGAAAGCACUUAGAGGAUGAAUUGUGAUAAGGUCUCAUAAUCUUUAAGAUGAUCAUAUAUCAUGAUACUAAAGUACUCUCCCAUCUUUUUAGAUUUGAGAAACUUUUAUCUUUCUGCCUAAAUUGAAUCUUCUCAUUCGUUCUGUCAUACAUUGGAACCUUUUUCCAAUGCUUCAGAAUUUUACUUAAGCCUAUAAGUAUAACCAUAUUUACUAAACUUAAGUAAAUAAUGAUGAAUAGUCUUAACAAACUUUUGUGGUGGACUUGAUCAGUGCACCAGAAUGUGUACUCGAUCCCUUAGUCCUUUACUUGACACACACACAUCCAUGUGAACAAGUAGUUAGUCUUAAUUUCUCCAAUGCUUGAAAGUUCUCAUUCAUCAUACUAUACUACUUGCAUGAUUCCAAGUUUGGGUCCAAUUGAAACUUGGGUGAUGAGGAUCUUUCCUUAUUUGAUAAAUUUAGACAUUACCACAGAUAAAAGAAUCAAAUUCAUAUUUCCACUCUUGCUCUUAAUGGAAUCUUUAUAAGCAACAAAAAUUUUCACAAAUGUCAUUGUAAGGAUAUUUUAAAAUAAAUAAAAUAAAAAUUUUCCUUUUAUUUUAAAAUAUUUGUGGAAAAACUAUCCUUACAAUCCAUAUGAAAACUUGUUGUUAUUUAUUCCUAAGCAAUAUCUCAUAAGAAGUAGCUCAAGAUUCCGAUCAUCAAACUAUGCGAUAGAAAUCCAUCUACGCGAUUAGAUUCAACAUAUUCUUUCUAUAAGUUUCUUCACUUUUCUUUGAUUCUUAAAACAUCACCAUGUGACCCAGUCACAUCAUGUAUCAAGAAUCUCAGAGUAGAAACUUAGCAAAGUUAGAUAGUGGACUUUACCUGAAGUAGAGUUAAACUUAUUGACUUUAACACCCUUAGGUAAAUUGGCAGCUUUGCAACCAAUGCCCCUUCCUUUGGCAAUUUAACAUAUGGACGCUUUGGUAAUGGAACAUGGGACUAUCACAGACUUAGCCUUUCUCUUUAUCAUUUGGUCAACCGUGUUGACUAUGGCCGGUCCCUUUCCAUUGGGAAGAGAGAGCUUUAUUAGAUAUCCAUUGUCAUUAUUGUCAAUGUCCAUAAAAUUUUAGGAAGUUGAUCUUAGCAAAUAGAUAAGAUCAUUAAGGAUCUUGUCAUAGUCUGUUUCAUAGGUGUCCCAAAGGAACUCACUAUGUGACUUAGAAAUUAGUUUAGCCACCAACUUUCUCAAGACUUUGACACCCGACUCUCCCGGCUUGUCAAUAUGCAACUACAUCUCCAAGAUGUGAUCACACCUAGACCUUGCAUUGCCAAUAGGGCUUGAGUGACCUUGAACUUGUGGGUUAGGGAGAAUAAUUAGAGGAGGUGAAAGAAGUAUGAUUUCCAUGGGACAUCAUCUUCAUUUAGGAAAGAUUGUUUCAAGAGAUUUGGGAAGAUCACAAAUUUCUGAACUAGACAUCUUUUGGGAGAUAUUCAAGAUAGUUGAUUUAGAGUCCUUAGUAUAACACCCAGUAUGAAAUAUUAAGGCUAGGACCCAACACAAUACUUUUAAAACUUGGAAGAGGGAUGUCGUAAUCCAAGCUAUAAAAUAUUUGAAGGUAGGUGAAUGACGAUUCACCAAUUUCCACCAAGAUAAACGAAAUGUAUUAUUAGGUUUUAAUUGGUUUUGAAACUCCUAGAUCUUUGAGAUUCAUUGAACUGUUCAAAGGCAUGUUUCAAUCUCGAGUGUGCCCUUCAGGUUUUGUGACUGGGAUGCCGAGGAUCACAAAACAAGGUGUGAAGUAACCAUGCAAAUCACUUGGUACCCUUAAUAAAUUACCCCUCAAUCGAUGUGCCGGUUAACCACACACGCUCCAUCGAUACUAUGAUAAAUAUUAAGUCACCCUUUACCUACCUUGUUAAGUCCAAGUUAGUGUGCCGGUUAACCACACACGCUCCACUAACGACUUAGACAAAGUGUAAAGUGUAAUUUCAUGGAUUAGCACCUUAUUCACAUUUUUCCUAAGUAACUAAGAUUGGGUAUUAUUAAGAGUUUAGUUACUUAGUAUUAUCAUUAAUACUUUUAAUGAAGGGAGAAUUCUAGUCCUGUCAAACCCGUUCGGCUAACGACCCUCCACCAGUCAAGCAAGCGGUGGGUGAGAGUGGACACCCAUUAAGUUGCCAUUUUAUAGGCAACAACCUUAUACCCACCUUAUAGACCGGCUUCGUGAAUGAGGCGUACUAGCGGUAAGACUGACUUUACUCUUAUACAUAUAUAUAUUAUUAACUUAUAAUAUUAUAAAGUAUAAGGGUUGAAUUUUAACUUUUAAAAUUCUAAGGGCUAACUUGGAAUUAAAGUAUUCAUAAGUGAAAACUUUACAAAUUCCAAAACUUGAGGGCAAGUUUUGAAACUAUUCAAAACUAAUUAAUUCCAUAACUUAUGUGUUUAAAGUAGUUUUAAUCCAAAAACUCUUCAAGUUCCAUAACUUGAGGACAAGUUAUGGAAGACUUUAAACUAAUAAAAGAAUUAACUUUUCUUUAUUUUAUAACUUAUGGAAUUAAUUAAGGUUACACUUUUUUUUUUUUUAUUUUAUUUUAUUAAAUGAAGAGACUCUUGGUCCUCCAUAACUUGAGGACAAGUUAUGGAGUCAUAAAACCAUUUAAUUAGAACUAGACUCUUCAUUUUUGUAACCUUUGCCAAUUUUUAUGAGUUUUAUGAUUCUUAAAUGUGACUUUUCAUAUAACUUGAGGACAAGUUACAAAAACACAUUUUAGAAUCAAUUCUUAGAUUAAUUUGGAUUAAAACCAACUAUCACAUAAUUUUAUUCAUUAAUCUAAAUUCACUCAUAAAACAAGGUAACACAAAAAACUUUUGGUGAUCCAUAACUUAUUCUUAAGUUAUGGAAUCCUUUAAAACAUUAACACCAAAUUUUGUAACUCCAAAAAAACUUUGAAUCAAUUUUUUUUUUAAAACCUUUUCAUAUCCAUAACUUAUGGAGGUUUCAAAAAAUAAAACUCUUUAGAUCAAACUUUUAAAACUAAUAAAAUAAUCAUAUUAUUUUAUCUUUUAUUAAAUUUGACCUAAUUCAACUCAUAAAGCAAAUUAUUCAAAUUUUACAAAUAAUUAGUUUUUCACAAGAACAAGUAAUUAUCUUAAAAUUUGACAAACUUCAUGUUUUUUUUUUUUUUUUUUUUCAACUUUGAAAAUAAAAUAUUUGCAUCAAUAUAACAGAAAACAACCCGUGGCUCUGAUACCACUGUUGGGUUUUGAGCAUUCUAACACUCCUAAGUGUACAUGCAACCCUAAAUACCUUGGAUCUAUGUUUUCUCUAUUAUACAUGCAAAUAUGAACUUUCCAAGGUAUUUAUCCUAACUAGCAUAAUAACAUUGAUUCAUAUGAAUAUAUCAAGUUAGAAUUACAUACCUCUUUGAUGUAGAUUGUCUUCAUGAAGUGUGAGUGCCUAGUGCCCCAAGUGUGACACCUCAAAUGGUUCACACAACACUAAAUACACUUGGAAUAGAUUAGAGAGAAAUCCACACUUCAUGAAAAUCGGCUAGCCCUUUCUAUCACUCAUAGUGGCCGAUUUUGUCAACAAUAAGAUGCUUAUAUAGUUAGUGACAAUUAGGGUAAAUCCUAAUUGUCAUGGCUUUCCAUUUCCUUGGAUCCAUGGGUUCAAAUAUACCAUGGAGCAUCUUAUAGGUUUUAGCCCAACUUGAUAAUCCAUGGAGUCUUAGCCCACUAUAAAAGUAUGGAUGAUUUACACAAUCAACCCAUAUAUUUAGUUAGUCUUCUUUUGAUCACUUAAUUAAUCCUAGAUUAAUUCUUGAUCAAUACUAAUUAAAUAAUCUUAUUAAUAUAUUAGAACUUAUAAUAUAUUAACAAACCUUAAGUGUUAUUUCUCUCAUUUUAGUCUAUCCAAAUGCAUGAUGCCAUGAACCCAAAUGGACCAUGCUGAGUCGGGUCAAGUCUUACCAAUUAUAGUUAUGGACUUAGAAAUUAAUCCAACAGUAAUGAUACUUUAUGUUACGAUCCCCGACAUCUCUCUAUGAUCGAUCGAUAUAUGCAAGUCGUAUGUAAUUUGGUAUUGAUGAAGCCGUCGAGUGAGUGGAUCUACCCUAUCCCUACUACUAGACAUGGGACGGGAAUUAGGACGAAAUUAUUCACUUUAAGUCCAUAGUAUUAAACUUAACCCUAAUGUAUACACCAAAUCAUCAUAGCUUACCUAUAAUGAUCCUAAGGUCAUAUAUACGUGUUUUGGCUUGAUUGAACGAGAGAGUAUAUUUUUUUACUACCUUUUGAAAGAAGGUAAUUUUAGUAAACAUACCAAAAUCAUACAACAUACGUUACAUAGCUAGUCAUGUUUUUGAAACGAUCCUAAAAGUCCUAAUAAGGUUCCUUGUUGCUUCUGCUGGUUCGGUUGUCACACUCCUCCUGCUCCUUCGUCAUUCCUCUCAGUUGGACAGUCCCUUUUCAAGUGUCUCGUUUCACCGCAUUGGUAGCAUGCUGAGCUUACAUCGGUGUUGGUGAUUGAGGUGAUGUGUCGGGUCCGGGUUCUGCGGGAGCAGGAAGUGUGUCCAUUCUUGUUGCGGUUUUAUAGUGCAACACCUAGCAAACCCCAUCGUGGUGGUAGCUACACUUGUUACACUUUGGAAGUUUUCCAAUAUAUUGUCUGGCUGGUGCUUGAGUGACAGGUGUUGUGGCAAAUGCCGAGGCAUGCCCCGUGAUCACUGUUGUAAUUGUAGGGGCAACCAUGAAUUGUUGUCUUUUAGCGAGUUUUUGAGUUAGAGUGCGCUUCUUUUUGUCCCAAAACUUUUGUUUCUUGCUCUUUGGCUUGUGAUCUGAGGCGUCUUCGUUGGUAGACACCCGCUGGUGCCCUCGAUUGUUAUUGCGGUUACUAUUGUCGGCACUGCCUCCUACUUCGCUGGCGUUGUUAGCAUUGAGUUGUGCCAGACGGCUGACNNNNNNNNNNNNNNNNNNNNNNNNNNNNNNNNNNNNNNNNNNNNNNNNNNNNNNNNNNNNNNNNNNNNNNNNNNNNNNNNNNNNNNNNNNNNNNNNNNNNNNNNNNNNNNNNNNNNNNNNNNNNNNNNNNNNNNNNNNNNNNNNNNNNNNNNNNNNNNNNNNNNNNNNNNNNNNNNNNNNNNNNNNNNNNNNNNNNNNNNNNNNNNNNNNNNNNNNNNNNNNNNNNNNNNNNNNNNNNNNNNNNAUAUAUAUAUGUUUUGCCUUUUGUUAUGCUAUUCCCAAUGUUUCUGCCAAACAUUCCUGAGAUGGAGUUAUGGUAGUAGGUAGAAGUAGGUUUCAUAUGACUGUUAAGUUUGUACAUCUUGGUACUAUUCUUGUCCAUUCACGCUUAAGUACUGAGUUUUGAUGGGAUCUGGUGCAUUAGUGCUGGUAUGAUCACACCCUAUAGGUCCACAAAGAAGGUACCUUUCAACCAUGAUGUUUAUAAGAUGAAACGAUAAUGAUUCUUUAGUAAAGGCUUAUAUGUCAUGAGUUAUUUAACUAUGUUUUCUUAGUUCUGAGUGCAUCAAGAUCCGACUUUUAUAGUAUUCUGAAAACAAUUUAUAACGGAGGUCUAUGAAAAACAGACUCAUGAAUUAGUAGUAGUUACCUCCUUAUGAACAUUCAUGAAAUGAAUAAGUUGUUACUAUUUUAUAUGAAGGACAAGAUAAUCCCAACGCAUAGUGUGAGCAGUGCAAUUACUAGCUCACUAGGUUGUAUUAGUUUAUCAGUUAUUAGUGUGACACAUAUAGUGCUCGGUCUCUUUGCGUAUCUAAGAAAUUGGUUUAUCUAUUUUAUGCUCAUGAUAUGAUUACCCUAAGUUUGGCUGUAGAGAUUUGUUGCCUUCGGGUAUUCCCAAGGUGUUCUUGUCCGCUAUAGAUGUGUUAAAUCUUUGAUACAUCCUGCUUCGGACUUUGUUACUGUUCUCCAUUAUCUUGCAAUUGAGGGUUGGACCCCGAAUAUCCGAGCGAGUUUCUUAUGUAUGGUUAUGCUAUGGCAAGGCUCAGUAACAUUUACUCCGAUGUCUUACUCUAUGACCGAUCCCUUCCGAGAAUCCUCUUCAUGAAUCUCUUCUCGUUCUUCAUCGACUCCUCUAGUGGUUGUUGUGGUGGAGGGGCUAUGCCUAUCUUUGUUGUUUUUUUUGCGAGAAUGGGAGUGGCUAAAGUAUCUAUGGGAUUAACUAAAACAAAUUUUAUCCUUUGGGUGACCCCUACUGAGUCUUCCCAUAAUUAAUCAGUGUAUACAAGUUGUAUAUAUCUUAAGGUUAAACAGGCUUCUGAAUGAGUGAUCCUACUCUAAGACCACAUCCAAACAAGGAAAAGGAGGUAGAGUGAAAAUCACCCAUUUCUAAGUCUAUACAACCAGACCAAGAGGGCUUUGAUUUGUUUUCACUACAACCAGACCAACCAUAAAAUGGCUGAAUGUCCGAGAUUGUCUGGGGGAGCAUUGGUGGCGCCUGUGUUAGCCACCUUGAGGACAACCGAUGUCCACCAGGGAAAUGCGAAGACUCCUGCGGUGAAGAGCAGAGCAUUUCAGUUGACCCCGAUGAGGCCUGAUCUGCGCCGGAUGUUGUUACUGGGACCUUUUGGUCAAUGGAUUGCCAGUUCAUGUUUUAUUCGAUUCGGUGGCUACCUGAUUUUUGUAUCUCUUGCGCUAAAUAAGAAGUUUUGAGACAUAUCAGGGACUUAGGACUCCCAUCUGGAGUUGGAGAUCGUGGAUGACCGUACUAUUAUCAACAAUAAAGGUCUAAAGGCUCCUGAAUAAUCAGGACUACUCUGAGAUCUCCGAUGAAGUUCUUCAACCAAACUGCCCCCUUUGAUGCUUCAUUGUCUGCGAUGUACUCUGAUUCACAAGUAGAAUAAACUAUCGUAUCCUGUUUGGAACUCUUCCAAGUUACUGCUCCACCAUUUAACAUAAACUGUUGGGUUUUGAGCAUUCUAACACUCGUAAGUGUACAUGCAACCCUACAUACCUUGGAUCUAUGUUUUCUCUAUUAUACAUGCAAAUAUGAACUUUCCAAGGUAUUCAUCCUAACUAGCAUAAUAACAUUGAUUCAUAUGAAUAUCUCAAGUUAGAAUUACAUACCUAUUUGAUGUAGAAUGUCUUCAUGAAGCUUGAGUGCCUAGUGACCCAAGUGUGACACCUCAAAUGGUUCACACAACACCAAAUACACUUGGAAUAACUUGAGAGAAUAUACACACUUCAUGAAAAUCAGCUAGCCUUUUCACAUAUACUCUAGUGGCCGAUUUUGUCAACAAUAAGAUGCUUAUAUAGUUAGUGACAAUUAUGGUAAACCCUAAUUGUCAUGGCUUUCCAUUUCCUUGAAUCCACGAGUUCAAAUAUACCACGGAGCAUCCAUGGAGCAUCUUAUGGGUUUUAGCCUAACUCGACAAUUCAUGGAGUGUUAGCCCACGAUAUAAGUAUGGAUGAUUUACACAAUCAACCCAUAUAUUUAAUUAGUCUUCCAUUGAUCACUUAAUUAAUUCUAGAUUAAUUCUUGAUCAAUACUAAUUAAAUAAUCUUAUUAAUAUAUUAGAACUCAUAAUAUAUUAACAAACCUUAAGUGUUAUUUCUCUCAUUUUAGUCUAUCCAAAUGCGUGAUGCCAUGCAACCCAAAUGGACCAUGCCGGGUCGGGUCAAGUCUUACCAAUUACAGUUAUGGACUUAGACAUUAAUCCAACAGUCUCCCACUUGGAUAAGUGUAAAACUAUUAUUGCAUAUGACUUCAAGAACCGACUGGCAAUCGUAGCUCUCAAAAGCUUCCGUCGAACUCGACCUUGCCGAUGAUCUCUGACCUUUGUCAAUGACUUGUCCAUUAGAUAAGGGAUCAUAUAUUCCUCCAUUCUAGACAUCAUAUGGACUGAGAUAUGGAUUAUAAUCAUUCUCUCUGUCCAUCUGUUGUUUCCCAAUUUCCGAUUCAUGAUGACUGACUGAUUGAAAAAAUCAAAUCAGUCCUGGCUUGGCCAAGCUCUCACAUGUAUCAUCAUUAAAUCAUCGAGGGGCCCACAUAUAUCGCGUUUAUCCCGAAGGCCUGUUGACACAAUCCCAUUUCUUUCUCCCUUUCUUUCCGUUGGUCAACAACCAACAAAAGAAAAGGAAUGGAUAAAAUUCGACUCAUAUGGCUUGUUCUACUAUUUGUUGAAUCAUACACAAAGGCACAUUUUAUAACAUCGAGUUACCAAUGCGUUUUCGUGCAAUCAAUGUACAACCUACUCAUAGUAACAACUCAUAUCUCUAGGUUUGAACAAUAUAAGAUAUUAUCGUCUCAUGAUCCCUUGUGAUAAAAUCCAUGAAGUGAUUCCAAUGAGCACGGGUUGAAUCCAAUACUCAGAACUUAUGAGCACUCCUGAGUGUUGUAGCACCACCUUGUCCAACAUCUUAGACCUCUACAAGCCCAGCCCAUGACAGUCUUGAUUCAUAUCUACUUCCAACAUAUGACCGACUGUGGAUGGUUUGAAUAACUUAGUCAUUCAGGAAGAAUGACCUAGUUAUUCUAGAAGUCAAAACAUGCAAAAUGAAACACAAGAAUAAUUGAAUCCAAUAUGGUCUCAGAACUUAUGAAUAUAAAUAAAACACCUUUUAUUUAUCACCAUAUGAUUACACAUUAUUCAUUAUAUACUGUUUCAGCUAUCAAAUUUAUUCUUGAAUUAAAACACUAGUUGUCCCAUGCUCCGAGCAUGUACGCUAUAUUUUUCUAAACAUUAGCUUUGCCAUACACCAAGUAUGCACUCUAUGUUUGUCUAUACAUUAGUUAUGCCAUACUUCAAGUAUGCAUACCAAGUUUGUCUAUGAUCUUUACCUUGUGAAAUAGAUCAAAUGAAUAUAACUCCAAUGAUUCUCAUUUCACAGCCCCAAGUCCUUGCGGCAAUGCAGGAAUUCCAAACUCAUGCCUUUUACCGAAAUCUGUUUGAUUCUAAACUUAUAUGCAUUGGUACUCUUGUAACGAUUAUGCACAAAGUCACAAAGACUUGUCAACAACAUUACUGAGUAUUCCAAUGUAAAUCAACUCCAUGGAACCGAAGUCUCAUAUUCAAUGUUCAUUUCCUUUGAACAUUCUUAUUGCAUUAAGUUUCCAAUAUUACACAGAUAACUUCCACUUAUGGAGACAACUCCAUAUUCCCAUUUUGAGUACCCCUUCUGAACAAGAAUUGCCUAUUUUCAGAUUAGGUCAAUAUGGUCCUUCCAAAGUUAAUACUAUACUUCCAACUAUUCUUGAGCAACCAAUCCUUGGUAAAACCUUAGAUUGUCCUUGACAAUUGCUUAAUCGUUUUAUUCAUAUCCAGUUCUAGACCUUUUCCCUUCUUAAUGCCCCAGGAACUUGGAAAAUUUUAGAAAGGACGAAUAAAGCACAUGUAAUCGAUCCUAUAUCCGAAGCAUAUGGGACACGAUUCAUGAUGUCUCACAUAAAGACUAAGCCAGUCUUUUGCUAUAAUAUUUCCAUUUCAAUUUGCAAAGUUCUCAUAAUUCAGAUUAUGAAAAGGGAUGUCGUAAUCAUAAUCGAAUUUUAGAACGCAAAUAAUGGACCCAUAUAUAGAUUUUUCUUAUGUUGAACCAUUCCAACAUAUCAUUCAUAUAUAUACUUGACUAAAUUUGAUUAAAAUCUCACAAUGUAAGCUUAUAGAUUUGAGAUGAAGUAUAAUUUCCUCUCCCUUAAUUAUAGCAAAACAACAUUUUCACAAUUGAAACCUUUUGUUUCUAUAAUUAACAUUGCUAACUUGCAACCUUUAUCAUAAUUAACAUUCUCUCCCAAUAACAUGAUGAUUAUUAGCAUAACACUUAUGCUCCCACUAGCUUUGACAUGUACUCAUAAUUAUCAUACUUUAUUAACUUUCUUAGCAAAGUUUAGAUUUCUGAUUUUAGAUUGCUUUGAUAACACUUUAUUAAUAUGACACACAUUAUCUUAGAUAACUCACAGGUGUGUCUAAACAAUUUUAAGAACUAUGAAAAAGGAUGCCGUAAUCAUAGU